CGACGCGAGUGGUCGUGAAAGCCGAACGACGCUGGUCGGAUGUGUCGUGUUUCAGUUCGGUCAGCGACGUACUGCACGAAGCAGCUUGGGAGCGUCUCUUCUGUGCUUUCUUCCAUUCGCUUUCACUAUCAUCCUUCUCUCUUACACUUUCGUAUCUCGUGCUGCAGUGUAUUAUAUAUAAAUAUAUAUAUAUAUAUAUAUACUUAUAUCCACGCUGUUACAGGCGGCCGAGCACGACAGACUUUGUGUCUCGCAUGUGUGUUUGUAUGUAUAUAUACGCGUAUAGGUGAUUUGCUUUUUCUUACACAUUCACAUAUACAUACCACACAUACACUGAAUGUACCAUUCUCUCGGAGAGUACAUCGCGUUUUCUCUUCAACAAGAAAUCCUAAUUUUUUUCGAGUAUACCGAUUAAUAUGUGCAGUUUUUAGUGCUAAAUGAUUAGAGAAAAAAGAAGACAAAGAUAAAAGAGAAAAAAAAGGAAAGUAGAAGAGAUAUGGAAGUUUAUUGAGGUUCCUUCUUCACAAACGCACGCCGUUUUGACAGCAACAGACACAGAAGCAGAAACAGGGCAACGGCCCAGACGGUUUCCUAGCGUCUCUUCACUUGGAUUCUCUUCUUCCCCCUUUCUCAUUCUGUCGGUCGAAGCUCCCUCAUCGUUUCUUCUGUCUCUGUUUUUCUUACCAAACAUUUACGAGCAAGAGAAAAGACCAAAAGCACGCCUCCUCUAACACAACCACCGCCACUACCACCACCACCACCAGCAAAAGCAACAUUUUUCUCAAGAUUUGAACAGGAAUUCAUAUUUUCCAACGCAUUGGUCUUUCAAAGGCAGGAAGUGAAAUCAACAGCCAACGAAUUGGCGACGACGACGACGACGACGACAACUUUGAAGUUACGAACGAGGAAUCAACAGGAAGAUGUCUCGUGUUCAUCACUGUUUACUCUGGAUCGUUAAUGCUUAUCAUAAAGCCUAAUUCUUUCGCACACACGGCCAUGAACACAUUCUCCUCGUGUCACUAUUCUUUCAAUUUGAAAAUUUGAUGCGCUGCCAAAUGGAGUGAAGCAACCAUGUGGGGGAACGGGGGGGGAAGGUCGACAUUGUGCAUGCGGCAUAAUAGAGAAGAGAGAAGAACAUGAUAUACUUAAAAUAAAAAAUUAAAAUUA
rnacentral:misc_RNA from 1 species